rnacentral:lncRNA from 1 species
CUCUAUUAAAACCAACUUAAGUUGGUUGUAACAUGCACCUUGGUAAAAUAGUUGUCUAUCUAGUCUAUUGUAAGUUAUUCUUCUGACGAUCAUGAAAAUUUUAGGGGGAAAAGGUUGUAUUUAUGAAAUUUGUAAGUUUGAAAUUCUCCAUAUGAAUAAAUACAAGAAUCUCUGAUUUAUACAUGUAUAUAUUAUACAGCAGGCGUCUCUCUCUCUCUCUCUCUCUCUCUCUCUUGGUGUAUGCAGGGUUAUUCUGUUGAUCAAAUGAAGAAUUGAAGAUGCAUCAGGUUGACUUCAAUCACCAGAUUCUCAUCUCACUUGUAAUUUCAGGUAGUGGCAAAGCUCUUUCUCGCAUUCAUGGUUGAACUAUUUUGACGAAAUAUAUGUAACAUAUUAAUAUUUAUAAAAUGUUCCAUGUAGUUUUUGGAUUAAAAUGCUCACAGAUCCGGAUUGGUUUAUCUAAUAUGAGAGUGCGAUGGUGGGAUUUGUUGAAAUUAAGAAGAUCUUUAAGUGCCAAUUUAACAAAAUGUGAUAGUAAAUGUUAAAUAUCACUUCGAUUAGGAUACUGUAAGAAAUGCAAGCCAUAAUAACUUUCAUAUGCUGAGAACACAUUUGGUCUGUGAAGGGAACUGAAUUGAAACUCGCCUCCUUCUUGGUCUGUUAGGUAAGCAAGAUCUGAAUCUGAAUUGUAUCAUCAGCAGAAUGAUUCCCAACAAGCCGGCAAUUUCUUGGCUGUUUUCUGGCAUACUAAAUAACCGCAACUCCAUAAUCAUUCUCUUGGAUGUCACUGUAACAGAUGGUUUGUUGGAGAAGACGAGAUUGGUCAACGUUCGAGGCUUUCAUAAAAUGAUUUGACUGAUUCAUCGAGGUUCCUGGAUGCUUUCAUAAAAUAUAAUAUGGUAUUUACUAGGUUUAUGUUAUGGCAGUGGUAACGCUUGUUCGUCUUUCAGAUAUUGUGUGUGUAUGCAUAUGCAUAUGUUCUGGAAUAAAACUAGAAUUCUACAUUUUGAAGAACACAAAUUUGUUGUGUAGUUUAUAUAUAAGGUAACAUGAUGUACAUAUAUUACGUAUAUCAAUUCUAACUAGUGUAGCUAAGAACAUUUGUGCACCAAUGCUGACAGUAUAUAUUACCGUAUCAGUUAAUGUAGUAAAAAGUGAAAAUUAAACACUUUUUAACACUGAUAAUAUAUACUACCGUAAC